GCGUCGAUGUGCUGGCGCCGUCGGAGCGGCGGCGCUCCAGUGUGCCAGCGUGGCGAGCUGGCGUAGUGCGCGGGGCGCAUCUGACGGCGGCGGACCGGCGUUCGGCGUUUCAGGGUCCCUGAACACCUAACGUCGCGGCCGGAUCGGGCUUGGCCGGAGCCAGGUCAGAUCAUGUUUGACCUCCCCUCCGGCGACACGCCGCUCUCCAAGCUGUUCCUGCUCAACAUGGCCGCCUGCGGCGGCGAGCUGGGCUUCUCGUCGGUGACGACGAUAGCGCCGACGCUGCUGCGCCGUCAGAACUUCAGCGAGACGGCCAUGAGCAUCACGAUGGGCAUAGGGCCGUUCCUGGCGCUGCUGGCGAUCCCGUUGCUGGGUCAAUGGACGGACCGCUGCAGCAGCCGGCUGGGCCGCCGCAAGCCGUUCCUGCUGGUCUACGGCUUGCUGCUGCUGCUCGGCAUCACGUGCAUCCCGGCCGCUGCCGAGUUGUCGGCCGCCACGGCCGGCCUCGUCUCCACAGAGGUCAUCUUAACGCUGAGUGUUGUGCUCUCCACCUUCACUGCGCAAGUGUUCUUCAAUCCGUACCAAGCGCUCAUCUCAGACCUGUGCCCUUCGGAGCAGGACGCCCGCAGAGGGAUUCUCCGUAUUUGCGCUCAUGGUCAACGUUGGCUCGGUCCUAAGCAACCUGCUUUUCUCCUGGAGCUGGUUCUCUGGAUCGCUGCUGGUCUCCCAGCGGGCCACGUUUGGUCUGAUCGCCGUGCUGGUCAGCGCGCUGACCGCCGUCACCCUACUCACCACCCGGGAGCUGGCCGCUCGGUCGACGGUCGGUCCCGAUGCCGACGCGGCCGUCUCGCCGCUGCUCGAGGAUGUCGGGUACGGCAGCGACUCGUCAAGGCACAGCUCGCCGACGACCAAGUGGCGGCACCAGACGGCGUGGCACCUGCUGUCGCUGCGGGACGGGCUCAGCACGGCCUGCUGGACGGACCGAACCGGCUUGGCAGCCGCCAGCGACCGGAUGGCCCGACUUCUGCUUCUGACGCCGCUCACUGCCCUCUGCCGGGUUAUCCUGUGGCCAUACUCCAUCUUCCGACGAAUACACCGGUCUCCGAUGGUGCUUAGGAGGCUGUUUAUCGUCGAUCUUCUGUCAUGGAUGGCACUUCUUUCUUUCUACAUGUUCCUGACUGACUAUCUCGGGCAGGCGGCCGGCGGCCGGGCCGAGGACCCAGACGGCUCCGAGGGGAGAGCCAAGUUCGACGAAGGUGUCCGCAUGGGCUCCAAAUGUCUGAUGAUCGACGGCGUCUCCG
rnacentral:misc_RNA from 1 species